rnacentral:Y_RNA from 1 species
GGCUGGUCCAGGGGCAGUGGUGUUUGCAACUACUGAUCACAACCAGUUAUUUGUUUCUUCUCCAUUCCCAUUGCUUCACUUUACUAGCCUAAA